rnacentral:rRNA from 1 species
CAGAUUGCAGGCUGCAACCCGCCUGCAUGAAGUCGGAAUUGCUAGUAAUCGCGGAUCAGCAUGCCGCGGUGAAUACGUUCCCGGGCCUUGUACACACCGCCCGUCACACCAUGGGAGCCGGUAAUACCCGAAGUCAGUAGUCCAACCACGUGAGGACGCUGCCGAAGGUAGGAUUGGCGACUGGGGUGAAGUCGUAACAAGGUACC